CCAUCCACGUAAGAUGAGACUUGCUUCUCCUUGCCUUCCAUCCUGAUUGUGAAGCCUCCCAAGCCAUGUGGAACUAUCAAACUGCAGCUUUGCUUUUACCCCACCCAGACUUUCCAUCAACAGCAUGGGGUGAAGAGGGGAGUGGCAGCAGCAACACAGUCUACAGGGGAAUGUUCCAGAAGACAUUCUUUUAGCAAAAUAACCAGGAAGUAAGCAGUCCUCAGGCAGGCUUCAUGUGAAAGUCGUCUUUGCAGAAGGGAGCUUCGGCUGGGAGCUCCAGGAUCCCCGGAGAAUGGCUCUGCUUCUCUGUAUCUGACAAAUAAGGCCAAAAUGAUAGAUCUCUCGGCUUAAGGACAUCUUACAUAUUUAUGGACUGACAUCUUUCUCCAUCAAGAUUCAUGAUCUAGAUUUUCAGCUGCCAAGAGGGACCUCGGCCAUUGUUCUAGCAAGUGGUGCAUUCAUAUGACCUUUUCAUUGUUCAAAUUCAGAGAGCAGAGUGAAUAAAAAUCAGUGGCAUGCAGAUAUAUAUUUGGAAGACAACAACGACAAAAUCUUCCUCCUUCCGAUUUCAAAAACAGCACGUCAGAGAAUUUCACUUAAAAAACUUUUGCACAAUUUGGGAAGGGUUUUAUAAACAGCACUUGAAUUUAUGAUCCAAUGUUUCCAGAAGCCCGGAUUUAAGAUUAGUAUUCUUCUUAUCAUUUAGCAAACUUUUUCAAAAGGGGCAGUCUGCCCUCCUACAAUUUCAAAUUUUAAAAUCAUAUUUCCACAUUAGGUUGAGGACUUGAAAACUGAAUCCUGAGGUGAAAUUGAAAAUACUGAUACAUACAAAUUCUGUGAUAAACCCUAAUUGUCCUAUUAGGUAUGCCACAGGAUAGUACACAUUGUGUGUAUAACAAGCCAUAUCUCUUGUAUAAAAGUUAACAGUAUGAUCUCAGGACUCAUAUCAUGAGAUGACUAACUAUAUUUUAAAAUUAUAGCCUACACACAACUGUUGAGUUGCUGAGGCUGGGAGACCUACUUGGUUUUCUCACUGUUAUUAGGAAUUCAUGAAAAUUGAUUACCUGAAGAGCUGUCAGAUCUUUACUAUUUGAUGGCAGAAAUGAUAGAAGCAACUGUUUGUUGUCACGGUUUCUUUAAAAAAAAUAUUUAUUAGAACUGCUGGAAAUCAUGCUGGUUAAAACAGGAGUUUGCAAUUUUCUAAGUAUUUUAUGACUCUUGGAGGGGAUUCAUUAUAAUAACAGAGUACUUAGGUGACUCUAUUUGUGUGAAACAGUGACCUCUUUGGAAAUGCUAGAUGGGUAAUAAAAUGAAUGUACACUGCCCUUACAGAGAUAAAAAUAUUGAUCUUAGGAGCUCCACAGCCUAAAGACUACAGGUUAUUGGAAAACAAUGAAAUACUGUCUUUCUGUUUCAGCAUCUUAACAGUCCUGACUAUCACUAGAGUAUUUAACUGCAGGCAGAGUUCUAAAAAGAAACAAUCAAAAAUUUCUGAUUUUAUUUUUUGUUUGUUUUUCCCCCAAGAGGUUGAAAUUAAGUGACUUCUUCCCCCAAUGCCUGUAACAUAUUCUUGGAUCAGCACUGCUAAGUAAACAUGAUACUAGAGGUUAAGAAAUAGUUUAGUAAAUUAAAGCCAUCUGGAUAGUUGGAUUUAAAAUGUUCUUCAUUGCAAAUUAAGAUGACACCUUCUUGGUUACUAAAAUAAUUCCACUUUCCCACUAGUUUCCCAGACCCAUCUUGGUGUACUGCAUUCUCUAUUCUGAGCUGACUCCCCUUGGCCUAAUUCCAUCAGACUAAAAACCUCAGCAGGACUGAGCUAUUUACUCUUUACAAGAGCUUCACUUUAAAUACAAAGGCUGUAAAGACAUUGGUAGGUAAAAGGCAAACAGAUAGAGAACACAUCUGUGAAAUGUUCCAUAAUUUUUUUUUGAGACAAGGUCUCACCCUGUCGCCAAGGCUGGAGUGUGGUGGCAUGAUCAUGGCUCACUGCAGCCUCAUCUCCCAGGUUCAGGUGAUCCUCCCUCCUUAGCCUCCUGGUAGCUAGGACUACAAGUGUGCACCACCAUGCCUGGCUAAUUUUUGUAUUUUGCGUAGAGAUGGGGUUUCAUCAUGUAGAACGGAAAGAGAUAGAGAUACAAAAAACCCUUCAAAAAAUCAAUGAAUCCAGGAGCUGGUUUUCUGAACAGAUCAACAAAAUUGAUAGACCACUAGCAAGACUGAUAAAAAA
ensembl:lncRNA